CAGCAAAGCACCGAAGCACACG
rnacentral:miRNA from 2 species